rnacentral:rRNA from 1 species
ACAAUGAAGAGUUUGAUCCUGGCUCAGGAUGAACGCUAGCUACAGGCUUAACACAUGCAAGUCGAGGGGCAGCAUUUCAGUUUGCUUGCAAACUGGAGAUGGCGACCGGCGCACGGGUGAGUAACACGUAUCCAACCUGCCGAUAACUCGGGGAUAGCCUUUCGAAAGAAAGAUUAAUACCCGAUGGUAUAAUCAGACCGCAUGGUCUUGUUAUUAAAGAAUUUCGGUUAUCGAUGGGGAUGCGUUCCAUUAGGCAGUUGGUGAGGUAACGGCUCACCAAACCUUCGAUGGAUAGGGGUUCUGAGAGGAAGGUCCCCCACAUUGGAACUGAGACACGGUCCAAACUCCUACGGGAGGCAGCAGUGAGGAAUAUUGGUCAAUGGGCGCAGGCCUGAACCAGCCAAGUAGCGUGAAGGAUGACUGCCCUAUGGGUUGUAAACUUCUUUUAUAUGGGAAUAAAGUUUUCCACGUGUGGAAUUUUGUAUGUACCAUAUGAAUAAGGAUCGGCUAACUCCGUGCCAGCAGCCGCGGUAAUACGGAGGAUCCGAGCGUUAUCCGGAUUUAUUGGGUUUAAAGGGAGCGUAGGUGGACAGUUAAGUCAGUUGUGAAAGUUUGCGGCUCAACCGUAAAAUUGCAGUUGAUACUGGCUGUCUUGAGUACAGUAGAGGUGGGCGGAAUUCGUGGUGUAGCGGUGAAAUGCUUAGAUAUCACGAAGAACUCCGAUUGCGAAGGCAGCUCACUGGACUGCAACUGACACUGAUGCUCGAAAGUGUGGGUAUCAAACAGGAUUAGAUACCCUGGUAGUCCACACAGUAAACGAUGAAUACUCGCUGUUUGCGAUAUACAGUAAGCGGCCAAGCGAAAGCAUUAAGUAUUCCACCUGGGGAGUACGCCGGCAACGGUGAAACUCAAAGGAAUUGACGGGGGGCCCGCACAAGCGGAGGAACAUGUGGUUUAAUUCGAUGAUACGCGAGGAACCUUACCCGGGCUUAAAUUGCAUUUGAAUAAUCUGGAAACAGGUUAGCCGCAAGGCAAAUGUGAAGGUGCUGCAUGGUUGUCGUCAGCUCGUGCCGUGAGGUGUCGGCUUAAGUGCCAUAACGAGCGCAACCCUUAUCUUUAGUUACUAACAGGUCAUGCUGAGGACUCUAGAGAGACUGCCGUCGUAAGAUGUGAGGAAGGUGGGGAUGACGUCAAAUCAGCACGGCCCUUACGUCCGGGGCUACACACGUGUUACAAUGGGGGGUACAGAAGGCAGCUACCUGGUGACAGGAUGCUAAUCCCAAAAGCCUCUCUCAGUUCGGAUCGAAGUCUGCAACCCGACUUCGUGAAGCUGGAUUCGCUAGUAAUCGCGCAUCAGCCAUGGCGCGGUGAAUACGUUCCCGGGCCUUGUACACACCGCCCGUCAAGCCAUGAAAGCCGGGGGGUACCUGAAGUACGUAACCGCAAGGAGCGUCCUAGGGUAAAACUGGUAAUUGGGGCUAAGUCGUAACAAGGUAGCCGUACCGGAAGGUGCGGCUGGAACACCUCCUUU